AAGACUAUACUUUCAGGGAUCAUUUCUAUAGUUUAGAACUUGAGAAAUGUGUUUCGAAAGUGUUUGGUCUCGCUAAUCACGAUGACGAGCAUCGGCAUCUCUUUCUGAGCGCGAAGCGGGUGGAGAAACGUGUUUUUGACAUGUGUCCCCACUAUUGAUGACCGUUCCAGCUCAUUUCGGUGGGCUUGGAGGAAAGAGAUGCGAUCCGAGUGAU